AGCGGCGUACGGGUGAGUAACACGUGGAUCAUCUACCUCUUAGUGGGGGAUACCUUGGGGAAACCUGGAUCAAUCCCGCAUAAGCCCGCGAGGGGAAAGCAGCAAUGCGCUGAGAGAGGAGUCCGCGGCCGAUUAGCUAGAUGGCGGGGUAAUGGCCCACCAUGGCGACGAUCGGUAGCCGGCCUGAGAGGGCACACGGCCACACUGGCACUGAAACACGGGCCAGACUCCUACGGGAGGCAGCAGUGGGGAAUCUUGCACAAUGGAGGAAACUCUGAUGCAGCGACGCCGCGUGGACGAUGAAGCCCUUCGGGGUGUAAAGUCCUUUCGACCGGAACGAUAAUGACGGUACCGGUGGAAGAAGCUGCGGCUAACUACGUGCCAGCAGCCGCGGUAAUACGUAGGCAGCAAGCGUUGUUCGGAAUUAUUGGGCGUAAAGAGCUCGUAGGCGGUUUGCCAAGUUUGGUGUGAAAUCUCCCGGCUUAACCGGGAGGGUGCGCCGGAUACUGGCAGACUAGAGUACGGGAGAGGAAAGCGGAAUUCCUGGUGUAGCGGUGAAAUGCGUAGAUAUCAGGAGGAACACCUGUGGUGUAGACGGCUUUCUGGACCGAAACUGACGCUGAGGAGCGAAAGCGUGGUAGCAAACAGGAUUAGAUACCCUGGUAGUCCACGCCCUAAACGAUGCAUACUUGGUGUGA
rnacentral:rRNA from 1 species